AUUUGCUAUCGGGGCGAAUUGCAAACGGGACGAGCUGCGUUUGCGGGACAAUUUGCGAACGGGACGAAUUGCCAAUGGGACGAACUGCGAACGGGACGAAUUGCCAACGGGACGAACUGCGAACGGGACGAAUUGCGAACGGGUCAAAUUGCCAACGGGACAAAUUGCGAAGGGGACCAUAUGCGACAAAAUCCGCGAUGGGAUUUAUGGAUUGGCUACUAUUCGAUGGGACGAUACACCAUAUGCCUUUGUAGAUAAAUCGCAAAAAAUUAUCUUGGAUUAUACUGUGUUAUUAUAUAUCGUCAGGUGACAAGCAAAAGUCACUAAUUACUAAAAAAAAAAUAAACAAAAAUUGACCUUCUUUUUGUACUAAUAUGGUUCACUAUGGCUAUGAACUUGUGGUGGUACUUAGUGACUUUUGCUUGUCACCCGACGAAAUUAUGUGUAUAUAAUUGUGAUUAUUGAAUGAACUCACCAAAAUGUUCGCUCAAAAUAAUUAAAUAGCUAUUUCUAACCGUCAUGACAUAACGUAUACUUUUCUAAUGAAUUAUGAAGGUUAAAAUGAUGAUGAAUUUAUCAAAGAUGUAUUUAAUUUAAUGUUUAGAUAUGACGUCAUUUUUAAUUCGAAAAAAGCUGUCAAUUUUAUGGGUAAAAAGCAUGUUGUAGUCAACAAGGAUUACCAUAAAAUGUAUGUGUGUAUGUAUGUAUGGAAAAGGAAAAAGAAAAUAGAGACAAAAGUAUAAGAAAUUAUAGUUUGUACAUAAUAAAAAUGGUUCACUUUAUAUGGGGAUUCUAUGCAAUGUAAGCGUGUUUUUCUCUUGAUUUUCAUUUGUUAAAAAAAACAUGUAGUAUAAAUGUAUCACUGCCUAAAUAUGAUAUUCCAUUUUUUUUAUAGCUAGGUAUAUUUCUUGUUAUUAUUAAGCAUUGUCGACUCGAAGCGCCAAAUAUCAAUGUAAUAGAUUUAUUUAGAUGUCAACUGAAACUUAAAAACUGGACGAAAUAUAAAAAAAAAAACUUAAUUAAGGGCUAUAAUUCAUUAAGUAGGUACAUUCGGAAUACAAUGGAAAAUAAUGAAAUAGCCGAAAAAUUAAGUUCAAUGAAGAUCUUAACCCUUUACCAGGCUAAGGGCCACUUGCACCAUUCCACUAACCCGGGGUUAACCGGUUAAAUCUGGAGUUACCAUGGUUACCAGUACAAUUUGGCACUGGAUUAACGGUUUAACCGGCUAACCUCGGAUUAGUGGGACGGUGCAAGUGGCGCUAAGGGAUAUAUAUUUCCCAUAUACGGCACUUCAAACAUGUGUUCUAUUUUCGAUGAGUAAGGUUGACAUUCAAUUGUCAUAUUUGAACUGUCGGCCUGGUAAAGUGUAAAUUAUGUUUUUUUUCUAAUUUACCCAGUUUUUACAUUUUCGUCUCAAUAUUUAAUUAAUGUAACUGCUUUACCUAGUUUAAGUUAUUUUAAGUCAAUCAUAUUAUAUUCUAUUGUCUUCCUGUCGUACAUAUUGACCCUUUGAAAAUGUAAUCACUAACUAGUAGUAAGACUCAGUUUCUCAUACGCAAUAUGCAAUACAGCGCUUAAAUAACAGUGCAGAUGUAGUGCAUAAUUUUUUUCCAUCGUAUUUUCUCGGAAACGUUCGUAUUUGUGAUGCUACUUCAGUCAACCUCAGUACUUUUUGUACCGAGACUGACUGAAAUAGCAAGACACGUUCGUACGCUUCCGUGGAAAUACGAAGAAAAAUAAUUAUGCACUACAUCUGUACCCGCAAUUUUAUUUCAUUUCUGUUUUUUUCUUGUUGUAUUAACCUUUUCGGCGCCGUGUCAAACAAAAGCUGUCACCCGGACGCCACGUCACCGAAGUGUAAACUGAAAUUGAACUUUAUGCAUAUGCACGUAGGUCUAUGUUGCUCUGGUCUGUGACCGAUUAAUCAGUCUUUGGCGUUGAACCUGCGGUGCGGAUAUAUCGGUCAUUGGCGUCCAAAAGGUUAAAGCAAUUACAUCACAAUAAUUGAUCUCGCUCGUCUAAUUGAUUGUAACUAUUAAACUUAAAAAAAAUGUUCGGUUACUUUAUCUUAAUAGUGUCAAUUAUUUUUUACACUAGUCAAAAUUUACUCUUGUCUUUUAACUUCUUUUGAGGAAAAAAUCUUGUAUUUAAUUGUUCUUGCCUUUUUCGUGCUCACUAAACGUUACUCUGUUGACUUGUUUAAGAUUUGCCUUUUUAACAAAAAAAACGGUCAAGUGCGAGUCGAACUUGCGUUCCAAGUGUUCCGUACAUUAUCCAAUUUUUAACAAUGUAUUUUUUUAUGUGGAACGUGAGUGAAAUGCCUUUAAAAACCCGUAGGGGUCGGAUCAAAAAUUAAGAAAUAAUGUUCGACUCACGCUUCACUGCUAAUUUUUAUAGGUUUUCCUAUCAUCUAUAGGUAAAGAACUAUAUUGAGUAUUUUUUUCAAAAUUUUAGAUCCAGUAGUUUCGGAGAUACUAAAUUGUUGAAGUGGUAAUGACUGAGAAUUAUGUAAAUUUAGAAUUAUCAAUGUUCUGAAUUGGAAAAGUGGAGGGACAAAAUAUGGCUAAUUUGUCUACUUGAAUUAUAGUUAGGCAAGCCAUUAUCGUCAGUAGAAAAAGGCGGCAAAUGUAGACGCGAAGGGUUGUGUUCCCAUAGUGAAUUUCGCAUUCACUCACAAAAUGGGUUUGCCAGAGUAUAUUUAACAUUAACUUAUAUCUCAGGACUGGCCUUACAUGCAAUAUGAAUGGGGCAUGAAUGACACCGCUACAACGCGAUUGGUUGAUGAGUUCGCAUCACGCACGUGAUUGGUCGCAUCUAGUUGCGUCAGACUGCAGGAUUGGCUCGAAUUCGUGAGUGACACCGCCGAACUAGUACCAUUUUUAGUGCCCGUAAAGCCCGUCCUGAGAUAUACGUCAAUGAUUUUAUAAGAUGACGAAUAAAGGUCUUAUUUUCACUAUGUUAGGCGUUAAAAAGGUAAAUGUGAAUUAGCAAGAAUCAUACUAUCGCUCAAAACUUCGCUGCUCAUGUCGUUUCGAACCAAAUUGUUUCGACUUUUAAUCAUUAACCAAAUUUAGAGUGCGUUCUAUUAAAAAUUGCUUAAGUAGUAAGAUUUCCUCUCUAUCGUACCAGCCGGCCUAGCCAAGGUGUCAAUCGCUAUCGCUACGACAACGCUUUUACCCUUUGGGUACGGAACCCUAAAAAACAAAUGUUCCUGGUGUUUUCCGAAAAUCUUACUACUUAUACAAUCAUUGUGGUAUCUAAAACGCACUUAAGUGAUAUCUCAACUAAGCUAAUUAUUUUAAAUGUAUUGUAAAUAUAUUAUUAAUAUUGUAUAGCCGCCAUUAUACACGUAAGACUUUUAAAUAAUAAGAUUUAUUGAUUAAAAUAGGCCAGUUGUAAUAUUAUGAAUAUAACUUUUUCUUUAUCAUAUUAUUAUUUUGUUUCUAUUCGUUUAUUAUUAACCUUUUCGGCGCCGUGUCAAACACAAAAGCUGUCACUCGGACGCCACGUCACCAAAAUGUCAAAACUCUAAUUGAACUUUAUGCAUAUGCACGUACUGUGUUGCUCUGUGUUCUGUGACGGAUUAAUCGGUCUUUGGCGUCCAAAAGGUUAAUGUAAUAAAUAUAUAUGGUAGCGACUUGAUAUAGGUGAUAUAGGUACUAUAAGUGUUUUUGUAAAGUAACAACUGCCAAAUCUGACAUAUGUUUUUGGCCUGGCUAACUCUUAACCCUCUUCCAGGCAUAGUGCACCUAGCGACCACAUACUCGCCAAUAGAAUUUCAACCUUAGGAAUCCGAUUCAAGGUUCAUAUUCGAUUGGUAUUUUGAUAAAAGCUUCUUAUCAUUAAAUAAUGAAUCAUCAAAGCUGCAUACAUUUUUAUGUAUUUGCAUUCUUUGGAAAAACCUUGUAGAUUGGUGCGGCCUGGAAAAGGGUUAAACCUAGAAGUCAGAAGUUAUUUUGUAACGUUCUUUAUUUUUACUUAAAAUGAACUCAAUGGUCCAAGACCAAAGGAUAUCUGCAAAAUGUAUAAAAUUGUCUUGAUAUAGAAUAAUGUGGUUCUAUCGUAUAAACAUAGUCGGCACAACUUUCUCAUAUAAAAUACUAUGUAUUUUGAAAAGUUAUUCUUGUACAUUAUAUACAGUGCAUCUUGAUAUUAUAAAUAAAUAGAGAAUAAAAUGUCUGUAAUCCAAA